rfam:Oryza sativa (indica cultivar-group) chromosome 11, whole genome shotgun sequence.
UCCAAUACCCUCUAUAUCGGGUGUACGGGUAUCUGCCGGUCUUAUUUUAAUUUUGUUAUAAUUAGUAUUUUUGUUGUUAUGAGAUGAUAAAACAUGAAUGGUACUUUACUCGUGACUUAUGUUUUUAAAUUUUUUUAAAUAAGACGGAUGAUCAAAAUUGGGUGCGGAAAAAUCAUGGCUGUACUUAAA